CAUUCCAGUCAGGCCCUGGAAAGAGCGGCAUCACCAGCCAAGCUUAGCCCAGUACCAUCAGCUCCUUUUCUCAGUUUCCAUUUUGGCCAUGAUACCUAAUGCUAAGAGCCGAUUGGCCAGCUUCCUCCUCCUCCUUCCCUCUGGGAUUGAUUGAAGGAGUCAACUGAUUGGUCCCUGGGCUUCCCGUGUGGUGCAUGAAGUAAUCAGGUUGGACAGCAGAGCAUUCGAGUGGCUAGACAUUGAAGAACAGCCAACAGAGGAUCUUGGGCUCCCUGCAAAGGUGCAGCUGGAGUUACCUCUGGAGUCCCAGCAACCACUUCCAUCAUCUGCUUUGACUGCCUCUCCCCAAGGCCAGCAGAGAGAGAAGCCACCUGAAGUCACUCCAACUGAAUCUUUUAAAGCACCUAUCUUCCUAGUGUCUAGGUGUCAAGAUGGAAGAAGUGUGGGUUGUCUACUUGUGCCUGUUCUUGCUUGUCUUGGUGAUCAUUUUAAUGAAGCGUGACCCAGAUUUGGAGGCCGCAAAGAAAGUUAAGGAAACACCAGACACCCCAGCGCCAACCACCUAUUAUUCCAGUGGUGCUGGCAAACAUCUGGAAUACACUGAAGAAGAGAUGGAGAAAUCCCUGGAGAGGCUAACCAGCAUCUUGUAUGGGAUAGAUGCUAGAAAAAGGGAAACCCACCAUGAGCAGAAAACAGCAAAGGCAGAAGCCUAUCACCAUUACAAAGCACCUGAUGCAGAGUCUGAAACUAAAGAGCUAAUGGGAACGGGGCCAGGACAUUCUCGGCAUCUGUCUAGCCAGCACAGGGUUCAGGAGAAAGCAACUCAUCCUGGAGGCCUUGGGAAUAUCGUGGAUGAGACUGGUCUGAAAUGACUGUUCAGUCUGAGGCUGAUCAAAUCUAGAGGGGCUCCUGCUCCGGUUCCCAGUGUGUGCAGUGGCAGCUUGCAGAAGUAGUGACAUCACAGCCUUCCUGAAAAAGCCCUGGAGUAAAAUGAAGAAGAGGAGGCUCUUCCUGAGCAUGGCAGAGAGGGGGAUGCUGUACAUUUGACAUUGUAUUUCCCUUUUUUUUUUUUUUAAGGCAACAGCCCAAUCUCCCGGGGAGGCUAGGUCAGACACAUUUGCUGUUUCUUGAGAAUAAACUUCCCAAUAUGUUUGUA